GAUGAACGCUGGCGGCGUGCCUAAUACAUGCAAGUCGAGCGAAGCGGGGACGGGUGAGUAACACGUGGAUAACUCCCUAUAAGACUGGGUUAACCUCCUGAAACCGGAGCUAAACCGGAUUAUUAAAGAAGGAUCCGCGCGUCAUUAGCUAGUUGGUAAGGUAACGGCUUACCAAGGCAACGAUGCAUAGCCGACCUGAGAGGGUGAUCGGCCACACUGGGACUGAGACACGGUCCAGACUCCUACGGGAGGCAGCAGUAGGGAAUCUUCCGCAAUGGGCGAAAGCCUGACGGAGCAACGCCGCGUGAGUGAUGAAGGUCUUCGGAUCGUAAAGCUCUGUUAUUAGGGAAGCGGUACCUAAUCAGAAAGCAACGGCUAACUACGUGCCAGCAGCCGCGGUAAUAC
rnacentral:rRNA from 1 species